rnacentral:rRNA from 1 species
CGGACGGGUGAGGAAUACAUCGGAAUCUACUCUGUCGUGGGGGAUAACGUAGGGAAACUUACGCUAAUACCGCAUACGACCUACGGGUGAAAGCAGGGGAUCUUCGGACCUUGCGCGAUUGAAUGAGCCGAUGUCGGAUUAGCUAGUUGGCGGGGUAAAGGCCCACCAAGGCGACGAUCCGUAGCUGGUCUGAGAGGAUGAUCAGCCACACUGGAACUGAGACACGGUCCAGACUCCUACGGGAGGCAGCAGGA